rnacentral:rRNA from 1 species
GACGGAGGAUGCAAGCGUUAUCCGGAAUGAUUGGGCGUAAAGCGUCCGCAGGUGGCUUUGUAAGUCUGCUGUUAAAGAGUGAGGCUCAACCUCAUAAGAGCAGUGGAAACUACAAGGCUAGAGUACGUUCGGGGCAGAGGGAAUUCCUGGUGUAGCGGUGAAAUGCGCAGAUAUCUGGAGGAACACCGGUGGCGAAGGCGGCGUCCUGGACCAACACUGACACUGAGGAGCGAAAGCCAGGGGAGCAAACGGG